rnacentral:rRNA from 1 species
AACGAACGCUGGCGGCAGGCCUCAAACAUGCAAGUCUAGGGGGUGUAGCAAUACAUCACCGGCGGACGGGUGCGUAACGCGUGGGAAUAUACCUAUCGAUUCGGAACAACUGAGGGAAACUUCAGCUAAUACCGAAUACGUCCUAACGGAGAAAGAUUUAUCGUCGAUAGAUUAGCCCCGCGUUCGAUUAGCUAGUUGGUGGGGUAACGGCCCACCAAGGCGACGAUCGAUAGCUGUUCUGAGAGGAAGAUCAGCCACACUGGGACUGAGACACGGCCCAGACUCCUACGGGAGGCAGCAGUUGGGAAUCUUGGACAAUGGGGGGAAACCCUGAUCCAGCCAUGCCGCGUGAGUGAUGAAGGCCUUCGGGUUGGUUAAAACUACUUUCGUCGCACGGCGAUAAUGACGGUAGUGCGAGAAGAAGACUCCGGCUAACUUCGUGCCAGCAGCCGCGGUAAU